AGAGUUUGAUCCUGGCUCAGGAUGAACGCUAGCGGCAGGCCUAACACAUGCAAGUCGAGGGGGAACAGGGGGCUUGCACCGCUGACGACCGGCGCACGGGGGCGUAAGUGCGUAACGCGUAUACAAUCUACCUUUUACAGAGAGAUACCCCAGAGAAAUUUGGAAUAAUACCUCAUAAUAUUAUUGCUCGGCAUCGAGUGACAAUUAAAGUUUCGGCGGUAAAAGAUGAGUAUGCGUCCUAUUAGCUAGUUGGUAAGGUAACGGCUUACCAAGGCAACGAUAGGUAGGGGUCCUGAGAGGGAGAUCCCCCACACUGGUACUGAGACACGGACCAGACUCCUACGGGAGGCAGCAGUGAGGAAUAUUGGUCAAUGGGCGAAAGCCUGAACCAGCAACGCCGCGUGCAGGAUGAAGGCUUUCGGGUCGUAAAGCUCUGUCAGUGGGAAAGAAUAAGCCGUUUAAUANACAAAAAAGACGGUACCCCUAAAGGAAGCACCGGCUAACUCCGUGCCAGCAGCCGCGGUAAUACGGGGGGUGCAAGCGUUGUUCGGAAUUAUUGGGCGUAAAGCGCGUGUAGGCGGUUUAUUAAGUCUGAUGUGAAAUCCCUUGGCUCAACCAAGGAACUGCAUCCGAAACUGCUAGACUCGAGUAUCGGAGGGGAUGGCGGAAUUCCCGGUGUAGGAGUGAAAUCCGUAGAUAUCGGGAGGAACACCGGUGGCGAAGGCGGCCAUCUGGACCGAUAUUGACGCUGAGACGCGAAAGCGUGGGUAGCAAACAGGAUUGGAUACCCUGGUAGUCCACGCCGUAAACGAUGAGUGCUAGGUGUUGCGGGUAUUGACCCCUGCAGUACCGCAGCUAACGCAUUAAGUACUCCGCCUGGGGAGUACGGUCGCAAGAUUAAAACUCAAAGGAAUUGACGGGGGCCCGCACAAGCGGUGGGGCAUGUGGUUUAAUUCGACGCAACGAGCAGAACCUUACCUGGGUUUGAAAUGAAAGAGACAGGCGCAGAAAUGUGCUCUCCCUUCGGGGCUCUUGUGGAGGUGCUGCAUGGCUGUCGUCAGCUCGUGUCGUGAGAUGUUGGGUUAAGUCCCGCAACGAGCGCAACCCCUGCCAGUAGUUGCCAGCACGUAAUGGCGGGCACUCUAUUGGGACUGCCGGCGUUAAACCGGAGGAAGGUGGGGAUGACGUCAAGUCCUCAUGGCCCUUAUGUCCAGGGCUACACACGUGCUACAAUGGCUGGUACAAUGGGUCGCGAAAUCGCGAGGUGAAGCUAAUCUCAAAAAACCUACCUCAGUUCGGAUUGUAGUCUGCAACUCGACUACAUGAAGUAGGAAUCGCUAGUAAUCGCGGAUCAGCACGCCGCGGUGAAUACGUUCCCGGGCCUUGUACACACCGCCCGUCACACCAUGGGAGUCAGUUGCUCCAGAAGUGCUUGCGCUAACCGAAAGGAGGUAGGGUACCAAGGAGUGAUUGGUGACUGGGGCGAAGUCGUAACAAGGUAACA
rnacentral:rRNA from 1 species